GGAAUAGCUCAGUGGUAGGGCGCAUACUCAGCAUGAAUGAGGUCCUGGGUUCCAUCCCCAGUAGCUCCA
rnacentral:tRNA from 1 species